rnacentral:lncRNA from 1 species
AUGCCUAUGCUAAGAUUAUCCACAGUGGCUAUCGCUGGGAGACUAGGUAUUGGGUGUACUUUCUUUCCUCUUUUUGCUGGACUCAAUUUUCUUUUCUUCUCUUUGUUGUCCUCCCUUACCUUCUCCUUAAGACGGGAGGUCAAUGAGCACAAUUUUUUUUUUCUUUUGGCAGAGUGUCUCUCUGUCACCCAGGCUGGAGUGCAGUGGCGCAAUCUCGGCUCACUGCAACCUCCACCUCCUGAGUUGAAGGGAUCUUCCUGCCUCAGCCUCCUGGGUAGCCGGGAUUACAGGCAUGCGCCACUACACCUGGAAAAACCAAACACGUCUCAUAUAGCGAGGGAGGCAUUACUGGCGUCAUCUGGUUUGAAGGCCAAACUCCUCCCCAGUGGGACAGAUUGGAGAAGUGACGAUGCGGAGUGGACAGAAGUAGAAUGGAAAAGUCAACCUGUGAAGCACCUGAUGUAUCAAAUGACUUUUUUUUUUUUUUUUUUUUUCUGGGAUGGAAUCUUGCUCUGUUGCCUAGCCUGGAAUGAUCUUGGUUCACUGCAACCUCUGCCUCCCGGGUUCAAGUGA